ACGGGUGCGUAACGCGUGGGAAUCUGCCCCUUGGUUCGGAAUAACAGUUGGAAACGACUGCUAAUACCGGAUGAUGACGAAAGUCCAAAGAUUUAUCGCCAAGGGAUGAGCCCGCGUAGGAUUAGCUAGUUGGCGAGGUAAAGGCUCACCAAGGCAACGAUCCUUAGCUGGUCUGAGAGGAUGAUCAGCCACACUGGGACUGAGACACGGCCCAGACUCCUACGGGAGGCAGCAGUAGGGAAUAUUGGACAAUGGGCGAAAGCCUGAUCCAGCAAUGCCGCGUGAGUGAUGAAGGCCUUAGGGUUGUAAAGCUCUUUUACCCGAGAUGAUAAUGACAGUAUCGGGAGAAUAAGCCCCGGCUAACUCCGUGCCAGCAGCCGCGGUAAUACGGAGGGGGCUAGCGUUGUUCGGAAUUACUGGGCGUAAAGCGCACGUAGGCGGUUAUUCAAGUCAGAGGUGAAAGCCCAGUGCUCAACACUGGAACUGCCUUUGAAACUAGAUAGCUUGAAUCCAGGAGAGGUGAGUGGAAUUCCGAGUGUAGAGGUGAAAUUCGUAGA
rnacentral:rRNA from 3 species